rnacentral:rRNA from 1 species
GAUGAACGCUGGCGGCGUGCCUAACACAUGCAAGUCGAACGGAGUCGUUUUGGAAAUCUCUUCGGAGAUGGAAUUCUCGACUUAGUGGCGGACGGGUGAGUAACGCGUGAGCAAUCUGCCUUUAAGAGGGGGAUAACAGUCGGAAACGGCUGCUAAUACCGCAUAAAGCAUUAAAUUCGCAUGUUUUUGAUGCCAAAGGAGCAAUCCGCUUUUAGAUGAGCUCGCGUCUGAUUAGCUAGUUGGCGGGGUAACGGCCCACCAAGGCGACGAUCAGUAGCCGGACUGAGGGGUUGAACGGCCACAUUGGGACUGAGACACGGCCCAGACGCCUACGGGAGGCAGCAGUGGGGAAUAUUGCGCAAUGGGGGAAACCCUGACGCAGCAACGCCGCGUGAUAGAAGAAGGCCUUCGGGUUGUAAAGAUCUUUAAUCAGGGACGAAACAAAUGACGGUACCUAAAGAAUAAGCUCCGGCUAACUACGUG